rfam:Pongo abelii chromosome 4.
AUGACUUCUUGGCCUUUUGGCUAAGAUCAAGUGUAGAAUUCACUAUUGGAAAUAAAAAUUUGAGAAAUUCAUACAUGUUCUAUAGAUUUUUACUUUGACACAUGAAAAGUAAAGCAUUCGCUAGCAUAUUUCAGUUAGCAUAGUGUAUUUGAA